rnacentral:rRNA from 1 species
GAUGAACGCUGGCGGCGUGCUUAACACAUGCAAGUCGAACGAAGCACUUUAUUUGAUUUCCUUCGGGACUGAUUAUUUUGUGACUGAGUGGCGGACGGGUGAGUAACGCGUGGGUAACCUGCCUUGUACAGGGGGAUAACAGUUGGAAACGGCUGCUAAUACCGCAUAAGCGCACAGCAUUGCAUGAUGCAGUGUGAAAAACUCCGGUGGUAUAAGAUGGACCCGCGUUGGAUUAGCUAGUUGGUGAGGUAACGGCCCACCAAGGCGACGAUCCAUAGCCGACCUGAGAGGGUGACCGGCCACAUUGGGACUGAGACACGGCCCAAACUCCUACGGGAGGCAGCAGUGGGGAAUAUUGCACAAUGGGCGAAAGCCUGAUGCAGCGACGCCGCGUGAGCGAAGAAGUAUUUCGGUAUGUAAAGCUCUAUCAGCAGGGAAGAUAAUGACGGUACCUGACGAAGAAGCACCGGCUAAAUACGUG